rnacentral:tRNA from 1 species
GGGGUUAUAGCUCAAUGGUAGAGCACUUGCCUCCCAUGCAUGAGGCACUGGGUUCAAUCCUCGGCACCA